UCGAGAAUUUUUCUCAAUGGGCGAAAGCCUGAAGGAGCGACGCCGCGUGGGGGAUGAAUGGCUUCGGCCCGUAAACCCCUGUCAUUUGCGAACAAUGUGCAUUAUUUAAAAGAUGAUGCAUUGAUAGUAGCGAAAGAGGAAGGGACGGCUAACUCUGUGCCAGCAGCCGCGGUAAUACAGAGGUCCCGAGCGUUGUUCGGAUUCACUGGGCGUAAAGGGUGCGUAGGUGGUGAGGAAAGUCGGAUGUGAAAUCUCCAAGCUCAACUUGGAAAUGGCAUUGGAAACUACCUUGCUGGAGGUUUGGAGGGGGGACUGGAAUACUUGGUGUAGCAGUGAAAUGCGUAGAUAUCAAGUGGAACACCAGUGGCGAAGGCGAGUCCCUGGACAACACCUGACACUGAGGCACGAAAGCUAGGGGAGCAAACAG
rnacentral:rRNA from 1 species